AGCGAACGCUGGCGGCAGGCCUAACACAUGCAAGUCGAGCGAGGACUUCGGUCCUAGCGGCGGACGGGUGAGUAACGCGUGGGAACGUGCCCUUUGGUUCGGAAUAGCCCCGGGAAACUGGGAGUAAUACCGGAUAAGCCCUACGGGGGAAAGAUUUAUCGCCAAAGGAUCGGCCCGCGUUGGAUUAGGUAGUUGGUGGGGUAAUGGCCUACCAAGCCGACGAUCCAUAGCUGGUUUGAGAGGAUGAUCAGCCACACUGGGACUGAGACACGGCCCAGACUCCUACGGGAGGCAGCAGUGGGGAAUCUUAGACAAUGGGGGAAACCCUGAUCUAGCCAUGCCGCGUGAGCGAUGAAGGCCUUAGGGUUGUAAAGCUCUUUCAGCUGGGAAGAUAAUGACUGUACCAGCAGAAGAAGCCCCGGCUAACUCCGUGCCAGCAGCCGCGGUAAUACGGAGGGGGCUAGCGUUGUUCGGAAUUACUGGGCGUAAAGCGCACGUAGGCGGACUGGAAAGUUGGGGGUGAAAUCCCGGGGCUCAACCUCGGAACUGCCUUUGAUACUGCAAGGCUUGAGUCUGUGAGAGGAUGGUGGAAUACCCAGUGUAGAGGUAAAAUUCGU
rnacentral:rRNA from 1 species